GCUCACGGCCAUACCAGCCUGGGUACGCCCGAUCUCGUCUGAUCUCGGAAGCUAAGCAGGGUCGGGCCUGGUUAGUACUUGGAUGGGAGACCGCCUGGGAAUACCAGGUGCUGUAAGCA
rnacentral:rRNA from 1 species